rnacentral:lncRNA from 1 species
UAGCGCUUUUCCAUUUAUUUUUAUAUUCAUAAUUUUAUUCGUUUGUUGGGAAAUUUAAGGCAUAUAGAAGUUAAAACCACAGCCAAGCCUCAGGAGAUGCACAUGUUCAAAGAUUUCAGAGUGCAGAGAGUCAUUUCAUUUUUUACGAAGCACGUGCUCUGCUUCCGGACGGCGCUAAGUCGGCUGUGUGCCCGGGCGCCGGCAGUUGCGGUUGUCACAUGGGCCUGAGGGCAGUGGACAGCGGAGGGCAAGUCAAGGAACCACACUGACAGUAAUCACCCUGGCUUCAGUGUUUCCAUGAAGUGCUCUUAGAUGCAAUGAUUGUGAAGUGGGAAAAUCAUGAGUGGCCACCUGGGCGAGCCUCACUGGCCGACAUCCCUGCAUCUGAGCAUCUCUGCGGUUGCUACUGUCCGGUAAUUUCGGUCUGUUCCGGGCACCUGGAUCAAAGUCAGAGGCCCUCCCUCAGGGCUCCUCUUCAACUGGCCUCCGCACUAGGGUCCUAUCUUGGGCAGGAUCCUGGAGGCUCACCCGCUUCUUCCCAGGAUGGAAAAGUCGUCUGGGCUGCUUGUGUCUGAUGAGGAACUUGUUUGACAGGUGAGAGGCACAGAGCGGAUGAGUGGAUUCACGUGGAACCAAGAGUUCCCAAACUGCCUGAGCCUGAGACUCACCAGUUCCCAAACCGCCUGCGCCUGAGACUCACCGGUUCCCAAACCGCCUGCACUUGAGACUCAGGGGUUCCCAAACCGCCUGGGCCCGAGACUCACCGGUUCCCAAACCGCCUGCGCCUGAGACUCACCGGUUCGCAAACCGCCUGCAUUUGAGACUCACCGGUUCCCAAACCGCCUGGGCCUGAGACUCACCGGCUCCCAAACCACCUGCACCUGAAACUCACCAGUUGCCAAACCACCUGCGCCCGGAACUUACUGGCUCCCAGACCGCUGCGCAUGAGACUCGCUGGGGGCGUUACUCACAACGCAGGCUCCUGGGGCCCUCCAGAGACUCCGGUGUCAGCGAGCUCAUGGCGCCCACCUCAAGUAACACUGGCCUCGGGCACUGAUUCUCAACCCUGGCUAACCACUAAAAAUUUACUCAAGGAGCUUUUAAAAAGUAUCAGUGCCUAGGACACAACACAGGUUAAUUGAAUAAGAACUUCGGGAGGAGACUCUAGAGAAAAGAAAUCACUGAGAAGAGUGGCAUUAAUCUACAUG